UGACCAAGCCCGCCCCGCGCGGUGCUCAGAAGGUAACCGCGGGCACGGCAGGGAGCACGGAGUCCAGCUCUGGCUCCUUGGCAGGUUCUCUGUCCUCUCUAGACACAGUGUCCUCAUAGGUAAAUGGGGACAGAGAAACCCGCCUGGGAAUGUGGCUGGGAAGAUGAAUGCAGCAACCUGACCCGGUGCGGCCCGGAGUGGCUCCCCGCUCCCGGGUCCCGGCGCCAGGAGCGCGGGGGCACGUUUUCAGUGAGCCACAGCGAGAAAGCAAGGCUGCAGCCAAAGGAAAAAGGCACUACGGUGAAUGUGAAGAUUCUUGGGGAGCUGUUUGGGGGCAGAAACUUCUUGAUUUUGUCCCAACAAGACUGCAUGGGUGACCACCCAUUCUGCAAACCCAGGAGGCCAGCACUAGCGGGGAACCCCCCACCCCGCAGCACCCUGACUCCCAGACGGUUAUCUCUGGAACCCUUUCUGCCGACUGGGCUCUGGGCGCGCCCCGCGGGCCCCUGGCAGCACCCUGGCCUCGUGGUCCCAGGGAGCAAGAAGCCACCCACCGCACCCAAGCCCACAGAAAUACAACGCGCCUGCAUCCGGGUACUUACCCCUGAACCCUGCCCCAGCCAGUAGCUCAGCCACCAGCAGUUGAAGGUCAUGAGGGAGGCCAUCAGGACCAUGAGAAGGAAAGCCACCAAAGAGACCACGUACCCUGGGACGGAGGAGAGGUGACACACAGGAACCACACAAAGGUGCAAGGCAACCACUGACAACACUGCUCAGCCCUCCCUGGCCCUGAGUCCUUGGAAAUCCCUGACCCCUGUCCACCUUGGACAAAGAGCCCUGGGUUCAAAUCCCAGCUCUACAACUUCCAAGCUGUGUGCCCUGGACAAGGUACCAAAUGUCAGUGACAGUUCGCUUUCACACCUAUGAAAAGGUGAUAGUCGUACCUGCUGCAGGGCCGUGCUGAAGAUGACACGAGAUAACACGUGUCAGGCACCCAGCCCGGUGCCUGGCACAGGGCAAUACUGUAGAGAACUUAGCUCCCUAUGCCUGUCCUGCACAAUCAGUCUCUAAAAGAGGCUUCAGAGAGCUGCCUCCCGUUUUCUGUCCCUCUUGCCCUGUGAGGACACGUGUGUCCUCUCCAAAGAGCAGACGACGCGGCAUUCAAGGCGCCCUCUCGGAAGCAGAUGUGGGCCCUCACCCGACACCGCAUCUGCCGGUGCCAUGAUCUUGGACUUCCCAGCCUCCAGAACUAUGAAAAACAAAUUUCUGUUCUUUAUAAAUUCCCCAGUCUCGGGUAUUUUGUCACAGCAGUACAAACGGACUAGAACGAUGAGGAAACUGAAUCUCAGAGAGGGAAAGUAACUUGCCCAAAGUCACAGAACUGAACAUGGCAGGCCUAGAUGGUUGCCAAGAUGCUCUGCCGCAGUAUGCUUCCGAGACAGCCAUGAAACAGCCAUGACACCAGCCCGGCAGACCCUUUGGCCUUGAGCUGGGCCCAUGGCCAGUACCUGGACGUACCAGUAGAUGCUUCUGACAGUAACAAUGACAACAGUGCAGUUCAAGGUCCCGAUUCAGGGAGCAGCAACGGAGGACCUGGAGGUAUCUGCAAAGGACAGGGAGCUGUGAGGGACCGGCGGCCAGGCCUCUGGGCCUCGACCCUUCCCAAGUGUUGAAGCGGAAAAAGUCUUGAAUUCCACGCUGAGAAAUCUGGACUUGAUCUUCUGUUUAAUGCUUACCGGGCCUUGUCAUACCGGCCUCCCAGGAGGAUGUUGUCCCGGACGCUACCCCUGAUGAUCCAGGCCUGCUGGGGGACAUAGGCCAGGCUUCCGUGCACCCCCACCGAGCCCUCGAGCAAGUGCAUCUGCAGCAGAACAAGUCCAGCCUCAGGACCAGGGCAGGCCAGGGGACAGACCCUGCCUGGAUCAGUGGCCACACCGCUCAUGGACCCACUGCUCUCUGGGACCCUGGGGGCUCUCCUAUGCAAAAGUGACUUUGAAGGUGGCCCUCCCAGGCCCAUGUGUCUGAAGGCACAGAUACGAGAACGUGUGGAAGCAGCUGGAGAUAAGCCAGGCCAGUUUCUGCUUUGACUGAAGCCAAGACACCCCAUACUUUUCUUCCUCUUAUUUCCCCAGCCCCAUUCCCUGGCAACCAGUGCCCCAUGGUCUUCACGGUGCAGACUGAAAGUUCCAGGCCAUCUCUGACCAUGCCUGCAUAUCACGGAAUUAUUAUUGUUAGGCAUGAUAAUGUUAUCGUGGUUAGACAGAAAAAGUUCCUUAUUUUCAGACAUUACAAUGAAGUAUUUACUAGGGAAAGUGUUAUAACCUCUGUAAUGUAAAAUAAUUCAAAAUAUCUGUCUACAUAGCUGAGGCCGAUAAGCAAAUACUAUCAACUGUGGAAUCCAGGUGGCGGGUAUGUGGGUCUUUACUAUGGCGUUCUUCCUGCUUUUCUGUAGGAUAAGUUUAAAAACACAUGUCAAAAACAAAUAGAGCCUGGACCCCAUCCUCCCCAACCCAGCACAGGACCUCAUCAUCCUGGCCCCUUUCUCUUCUUCAUCCUGUGUUUUUUACUUUUGAUUUAGAGCCAGGCUUCGAUUAAUACGAAUAAAACUUUGAAAUGGCA